UAUUCUGCCCUGCGGGGAAGGAUGAGAAGCUUCGACUAAGGUUCGACUCGAGCGCCAGCGAGAGAACGUUGCCGCAGGCAACGGCCCGAAGGGCGAGGAGCGAUAGCGACGAGUUAUCCUUCCCCCACUACUG
rnacentral:sRNA from 1 species